GAUGAAGAACGUAGUGAAGUGCGAUAAGUAAUGUGAAUUGCAGAAUUCCGUGAAUCAUCGAAUCUUUGAACGCAAAUUGCACUUUCUGGUAUUCCGGAGAGUAUGCCUGUUUGAGGGUCAGUGUAAUAAAAAUAAAUCGUGGUUGUUUGCCACCUUUUCGUGGUGACGCUUCGGAAUUGAGUCGUCUUACCUUCGGUUAAGUGACUUAAAAUUUUUUCAUACGAGAUUUCGAAACGUAUUUAAUGUAUUAUGUACGUUCACGAAUAUCGAAUGUUUAUUAGGUGCGGUCAUUUUUCAUGAAUUCGCGUCUAUAAUUUUUUUUUUUUUUGACCUCAAAUCAGGUAAGAAUACCCGCUGAACUUAAGCAUAUCAAUAAGCGGAGGA
rnacentral:misc_RNA from 1 species